AUACGGAGGGUGCAAGCGUUACUCGGAAUCACUGGGCGUAAAGGACGCGUAGGCGGGAUGCCAAGUCUGAUGUGAAAUCCUAUGGCUCAACCAUAGAACUGCAUUGGAAACUGGUAACCUAGAGUAUGGGAGGGGGAGAUGGAAUUAGUGGUGUAGGGGUAAAAUCCGUAGAUAUCACUAGGAAUACCUAAAGCGAAGGCGAUCUCCUGGAACAAUACUGACGCUAAGGCGUGAAAGCGUGGGGAGCAAACGGGAUUAGAUACCCUAGUAGUCC
rnacentral:rRNA from 1 species